AUUGAACGCUGGCGGCAUGCUUUACACAUGCAAGUCGGACGGCAGCACAGAGAAGCUUGCUUCUUGGGUGGCGAGUGGCGAACGGGUGAGUAACAUAUCGGAACGUACCGAGCAGUGGGGGAUAACUAAUCGAAAGAUUAGCUAAUACCGCAUAUUUUCUGAGGAAGAAAGCAGGGGACCAUUUGGCCUUGCGCUGUUUGAGCGGCCGAUAUCUGAUUAGCUAGUUGGUGGGGUAAAGGCCUACCAAGGCGACGAUCAGUAGCGGGUCUGAGAGGAUGAUCCGCCACACUGGGACUGAGACACGGCCCAGACUCCUACGGGAGGCAGCAGUGGGGAAUUUUGGACAAUGGGCGCAAGCCUGAUCCAGCCAUGCCGCGUGUCUGAAGAAGGCCUUCGGGUUGUAAAGGACUUUUGUCAGGGAAGAAAAGGAUAGGGUUAAUACCCCCUGUCUGAUGACG
rnacentral:rRNA from 1 species